AUGUGUCUGUCAGUUUUGCUAUAACCCUGUCGGCCUCCAUUAUAACGACGAUCCCAGACCCAACCAUCAUUGAUUAGUCUCUAAGUUUCCUUGUAUGCUUCAAAUCAAUAUGAAAAACAAAUAUUCGAACGUUAUAGUCGUCUCCAACAUCAAAUUUUUAACCAAACCAAUGUUUAAGCAAAGCCCAAGAAUUAAGAAGCUUGGAAUAUACUGUGCGUUUUUAUGGCGCGACAUACGAUUAACAAAAAUUACAAAAUGUAAAAUAUUACUAUUGAUUAUAAAUUUCUAUUGCUCUAGUGAAAAAGCUUAUAGCACUUCAGUUAUGAGUUCCGGCGAACUAGAGUAGCCAUAUAAUAAUAAUUUUACCAAACGAAAUCAUCACGAGUAUACGACUGGAAUUAACAUUUAGUCAUCGCCAUGGACAUAGGAUCAACACUUAGCAACAUAUAACUAGUCUGGAUCAUUUCUGUGGGAUGAGAAUGCUCAUGUAUAAUUAAAAAAAAUGAAAAUACUAAAACUCUAACGAUGGGUGGUCAUUUCCAAAACAUACAUUGUGAUUUAAAAAAAAAAACUGUUUGCUUUUGUUAAAGAAAAAUAUAUUUCCUACCAGAAACUGCUUUUAGUUGAUAAUACCACUUGACCGUAGUUUAAUAUAUUACAAUAGUACUAUACUAUGCUUAUUAUCUAGACUAGAACUUAUUAGUCCAAAAAUGUAUGUGUCAUGUAUUUGUGUUGUUCGAUUUUUCGUCUUUACGAUCCGUUUUAGCUUUGGUGAAGUUUCUUGCCUAUGAUUCGAACUUGGUUGUUUCUUCCCAGAGUCGAUCCUGAGUUUUUGAAAAUUUUAUCUGAAAUAAAAUAUUUAUUUAAUUUUUAUCUGAAUAUCAGAAUAUUUAUUUUAUUUUUAUCUAAAUGUUAAAAUAUUUAUUUUAUUUUUAUCAAAACUUGGUUUUCAUUCUUUUAGAAAAAAAAUCAAAGAAACAUUUUAGUAACAAAAAAUAAUAUUUUCCUUAUAUUAAUAGUUUUAUUGUAAAUUAUAUUCAUAUAUAAAUUAUAGAACCUAGAAUAUGUUUGAUAUCUUAUUAUUAUUCUUAUUAAAUUUCUUUUUUUUAUCCUUGCUAAGCUUCUCGAUGAUGUUGUUCCUUUUCUUCCCCUUUGUUUGGGAUGUUUUGUAUUUCGAGUAUUGCCGGUUGAUGUUCUGUUUUUGUCUUCCUCUGCGCUCUCUAGCUACUUCUUAGCUUUCCGGCUGAUUAUGUUUGGUUUGGUCUUGUUUUAUCUCAUUUUUGUCUAAAAUAUCUAUUUGUCCUUAAGUUUCUGUAUGAGUAUGGUGUUGGUAGUUUUUCCAGUAUGGUAAACUUAUGUUUUCGAGUAGUAUUUUUAGUUCUUUUUUCGCCGGUCUUUGUUUAAUUGUAUUUCUUUGUAUCAAUUUUAUUAUCAAAUGACCAAAAAAGUGCAAGAGUUAUGUUUGUAAGCCAAAAUUGUUUUUUUAAUCUUUAUAUCAUUCGAAAAGGAGAUUUCAAAACGAGUUAUAACUCAUGAGCUGGUUCAGCUCAGUUCGAUUUUUCAUGAGCAUCAGCUAUGUUUUUAGGCUCAUUUAAUAAGUGAGGUUAAUGAUCGAACUUAGAUUAGAUCAUGAAUUAUAUGAACGAUCUUUAAUGAACAUGAGCUAACUCAUGAGCUUUGUCAUUUUUAUACUUAAUAUAUAUAUAUAUAUAUUGAUGACUUCUAUUUUUUAAUGUAAGAAAAAAUAGUUUCUAUAUUAAUCAUAUGUAUCUUCUAAAAUUAUAAUGUAAGACAAAAAAGUUAUAAUAUAUAUAAAAAUGUAAAGAUUAUUGAUAGCACUUUUCAUAUCAUAUAUAUCUUUACAAUUAAAAUAUAAAACAAAAUAUUCCUAAAACUCUCAUGCGGCAUAUAUAUUUUUUUUAUUUGAACAGAUGAAAACUUUGAAGAUGAAUCAUCUAAAGACUCUUAUGUGGAAUAAAUUUUGGAUCACUGAUGUAAUUAGCUUUGAUUUUCUUUAUUAUUAGGUGUUCGUUUUAUUUAAUAUUUAAUAUUAAUGUUUUGGAUUUUUAAUAUUUAAUAUUUAAAUCAUAUUAUGAAAAUUAUUUUAUUCUAUAUUUUAUUUAUAUAUUUGAUUGUGAAUUAACAAAUUUAACUCAUAAUCUAGAUGAUCUUAGUUCGAGUUUAUAUAUUAAAGCUCAUAUAAUAAAUAAAGUGUACUGAGCUAUGAACUGAGCUAAGUCGAGAGAGAUAGCUCAUUUUGUCACUGAUCAUUAUUUAUAUACAUGCAAUUUUGUCAUUUUAUUACCGUAAUGUAUACAAACGCGCGCGACUAACCCAUAAACGAGCAAAUUAACAAGGUAAACCUUUUCUCUGAACAACAUCAAUUCAUUAGAGUAGUUUAGGUCGGCUAACAAGGUAAACCAACCAGCAACUUUAACACAUGCUCCACUAACCAAUUAAAUUGAUCAUCUUAAUUUACUCUGUAUUCGUAUACAUCAUUCCUCGCCGACACAUUAACUUGUUAGGUCAAAGACGCCCAUAUUCAAAUGAUGUCGCUAUUUUUUUUUUGUGUAACCUAAUGUCGCUAUUACUCUAUGCAUGUUAUACAUUUUAUUUUAUUAUUGGUUGAACUUUGUUUAAGUAAAUAAUUAAUAAGUUGGUUUUAGAAAAUA